rnacentral:rRNA from 1 species
GGGGAAUUUUGGACAAUGGGCGAAAGCCUGAUCCAGCAAUGCCGCGUGCAGGAUGAAGGCCUUCGGGUUGUAAACUGCUUUUGUACGGAACGAAAAAGCUUCUCCUAAUACGAGAGGCCCAUGACGGUACCGUAAGAAUAAGCACCGGCUAACUACGUGCCAGCAGCCGCGGUAAUACGUAGGGUGCGAGCGUUAAUCGGAAUUACUGGGCGUAAAGCGUGCGCAGGCGGUUAUGUAAGACAGUGGUGAAAUCCCCGGGCUCAACCUGGGAACUGCCAUUGUGACUGCAAGGCUGGAGUGCGGCAGAGGGGGAUGGAAUUCCGCGUGUAGCAGUGAAAUGCGUAGAUAUGCGGAGGAACACCGAUGGCGAAGGCAAUCCCCUGGGCCUGCACUGACGCUCAUGCACGAAAGCGUGGGGAGCAAACA